CUACGGGGCGCUCCAGUGAGGAAUUUUGCGCAAUGGGGGAAACCCUGACGCAGCAACGCCGCGUGAGCGAAGAAGGCCUUCGGGUCGUAAAGCUCUGUCAAGUGGGAAAAAAAUUCUUUGAUGAACAGUCAAAGGACUUGAUGGUACCACUGGAGGAAGCACCGGCUAACUCCGUGCCAGCAGCCGCGGUAAUACGGAGGGUGCAAGCGUUGUUCGGAAUUACUGGGCGUAAAGAGCGUGUAGGCGGUUUGACGAGUCAGAUGUGAAAGCCCCGGGCUCAACCCGGGAAGUGCAUUUGAAACUGUUUCACUAGAGUAUGGGAGAGGAGAUUGGAAUUCCUGGUGUAGAGGUGAAAUUCGUAGAUAUCAGGAGGAACACCCGUGGCGAAGGCGAUUCUCUGGACCAAUACUGACGCUGAGACGCGAAAGCGUGGGGAGCAAACAGGAUUAGAUACCCGAGUAGUC
rnacentral:rRNA from 1 species